rnacentral:lncRNA from 1 species
UUUAAAAUUUUUAAAAAAGAUUUUAUUUAAUUGAGAGAGAGAGCACAGAGUGAGAGAGAGAGAGCAUGAGCCAGAAGGGGGAAGGGCAGAGGGAGAGGGAGAAGCAGGCUCCUCCCUGAGCAGGGAGCCCAAUGCUGGGGGGUAGGGGUGGGGGCUCGAUCCCAGGACCCCAGGAUCAUGACCUGAGCCAAAGGCAGACACUUAACUGACUGAGCCACCCAGCUGCCCUAUCGUCUCUCUUUUCUUAUCCCCUUACUAAAAUAUAAGCUGUGUAGGAAUAGAAGUUCUAUUGGUUCUAUUCACUGCUACAGCCCCAGGGCCCAGAAAAGUUCCUAGCAGAGUAGGUACUUAAUACAUAUCUUGAAAAAUGAAUAUUGGGAAAAUCUUACUUCUUCAAUUAUCUCUGUUCCGUGUUCAAACAACUUGAAAUCUGGCUCUUCUCUCAAUGUCCUCAGAAUUCUGCAUCCAUGAGUUUCCUCAUCUGUAAAAUGCAGGUAAUAUACUCUCCUCAUUGAGUUUGGAAUAAAUAAAUGAGAUAAUUAAUACAUAGACAUGGUGAAGGGACAAAAUAGCUACAACUCAGACAAAAGGAAACCUGGAAUAUUACUUCACAUUCAGUAAUCCAUUACCCAUAUUUAAGAUGACCUGAAUAAUUUAUUCUGUGUGAUGAAUCUAAACAUUUAUAUUAUUCAGCAAGUCUGAUAGCAUCUCCAUGUUGACUCUGUCAUGUGAAUGAGGCAGUGGCCACUUGAUGUCUUUUUAGAUAACAACUAGCAUUCACUGAGCUAAGUAAUACUAACUUCAUAUAGCUUGAUCCUUAUUCUUACAAUAACUGCCUUAUAGUGUCAGUGGCAUCACUGUUCACCUUCUCCAGAUAUGGAAGGUGGUGCUUAGGGAGGUCAUAUAACUGCCCCAGAGUCACAAAGUUAAUACAUGGUGAGUCCAGCACUUGGUGUCUUAGCAACUCUGCUACCCUGGUUCUCUAGGGUGAGUCAAGGUAAAUUUGUUUUCAAAUAUGUUAUAAUACCCUAAUCACAAUGAAAUUAUAUCUCACUAAUUCAUACUGGUUCUUUAAAGUUUCCCAUUAUACAGUCCAAGGAACCUAAUGAGUAAGUCUGCAAAGGCCACUCAAUUUAGGUUUUAUAUCAAUUACUUACAAGGACUGCCAGGGAUUGAGCCAUUAUGUUGAGCCCUAUCUUGUUUAAGCUAGUGAAUCUUGUUAUGGCAGCUAGGCUAUAUCCUUUUAACUAUGUACUGUCACACUUAGAACAAAAUCCAAACUCCUGAUGUUGGUUUAUAACACCUUCCAUGAGCUGCUCUUGUUUCUUCUUGGGAUCUCACUUCAUACCAUAUCUGUUCUGACCUUGGAGCCUUGUACUAGCUUUAACCCCUCCUUGGGAUGUUCUCUCCCCCAUCCUUCCUUGGCUGGAUGUCUCUUGUCACUUAGAUCUUGGCUUAAAGUUUAUUCCCUUUAAGAGACCUGACUUUACCACCUAAUCUUAAAGUGGCCAACUUGCUAUUAGUUCACAUCAUCUUAUUAUAUCUCUUCAAAACAGAGCACUUACUGCUAUCUGAAAUCUUAGUUCAUUAAUUUAUUGACUGUCCCUUCCACCUCUUACACCCAUGAGAGAAGAAAGGGGCUGAUGAGCUUGUUCACUACUGUAUUCCCACUCUAUAGAAGAGUACACAUAGCACAGGCUCAGAAAAUACUUUUUGAAUGUAUAUAUGAAUGAGUGAUUUCAAUUUUGUAUCUCUUAGCACAAGGUGGCACAUAAUAUGCUCUCAAAAAUGUUUGUCAAAUGAAUGAAUUUUGUGAAUUCCUGAUAUGGUGCAGUGCAAGAUGGUGAGAGAAUGAAUUUAGUGUUAGGCAUCAAUAGAUUUGUGUUCAAGUCCUAUCUUAGCCACUUAGUGGCUAUGUCAACAGACUAUUUAUUUCAUUGCCGAAAUGUUCCAUAUUUUCAUGUGUAAAUGUAUUUUGUGCAGAGGCAUAAAAGAGAUAAUGUAUAGGAAUCACUGUGACCAUGUGUAGAUUAUCACAAAUGGUGGCAGUCAUCUAGGCCAAGAGCAGGGUGAUUUCAGGCAAAAAUUUUAAGGGGUGCCAAGAAAGUCAAUAAUCAAGAUAAAUAAAAUUUUAAUGAAACAUUUUUAAACCUUAAUUUUAACAAAAAUCCACAAGGAACAACAUUUUUCAUAAAGACAGGAUCAUUACUACUGAUUUUUCCUUUUGUCUCAGGAUCCAAUGUGGCCCAGGCAGUUAGAGUCCUUAAGCUGACAUAAGUGUUUUUAACAUUAUUGUCUCACAGAGUACUUCAAUUUGUAGCUCCUAAGGUUUGGGGCUAUGGUCCUUGAAAAAUGCAGAAUUGCUA